GUGUCAGCAGCCGCGGUAAUACGUAGGGUGCAGGCGUUAAUCGGAAUUACUGGGCGUAAAGCGUGCGCAGGCGGCCUCUUAAGUCAGAUGUGAAAUCCCCGGGCUUAACCUGGGAACUGCGUUUGAAACUGGGAGGCUAGAGUGUGGAAGAGGGGGGUGGAAUUCCAGGUGUAGCAGUGAAAUGCGUAGAGAUCUGGAGGAACACCGAUGGCGAAGGCAGCCCCCUGGGCUGACACUGACGCUCAUGCACGAAAGCGUGGGGAGCAAACAGGAUUAGAAACCCUCGUAGUCC
rnacentral:rRNA from 1 species